rnacentral:lncRNA from 1 species
CCACUUUGUUCAGGAUGUUGUCCUAUCUUCUGACGGUCAGUUCGCGCUUUCCGGCUCCUGGGACGGUGAGCUCCGCCUCUGGGACCUUGCAGCCGGCACCUCCGCGCGCCGUUUCGUUGGACACACCAAGGACGUCCUCUCUGUGGCGUUCUCUAUUGACAACCGUCAGAUCGUGUCGGCCUCCCGUGACCGCACAAUCAAACUGUGGAAUACCCUUGGUGAAUGC